CUUUUGCUGGCGACCGGCGCACGGGUGAGUAACACGUAUCCAAUCUGCCCUUUACUCGGGGAUAGCCUUUCGAAAGAAAGAUUAAUACCCGAUAGCAUAAUGAUUCCGCAUGGUUUCAUUAUUAAAGGAUUCCGGUAAAGGAUGGGGAUGCGUUCCAUUAGGUUGUUGGUGAGGUAACGGCUCACCAAGCCUUCGAUGGAUAGGGGUUCUGAGAGGAAGGUCCCCCACAUUGGAACUGAGACACGGUCCAA
rnacentral:rRNA from 1 species